UGCUCGGAGGAUCAAUGUUUUUAAUGAUAAGAAUAGAGUCCAAUCUAUCUCUUCGAUUGUCAACUCUAUUCUGUUUUCGGCUCGACUGGAGCAAUAUUUAGUGAGAAAAGAAACACGACCGCUUCGUUAGGGUGUUAUUUCAAUUCUCGAUCCGGCUUGAAGGAUCAAUGUUUAGAUGAGAAAAGAAAACCAACCGAAUGGGCUGGCUGUUGAUUCAAUUCUGUUUUUAUUUAAAAUAUUUGUUCCUUACGUACUACUGAAACUAAUCUAACUUAACCUAGUCGCAGCCACACAAUUGUUCUUAUCUAUUCUAAUAUUGAAUGGAGAACAUUGCAGGGCUGCUUUACAUUUCAUUCAAGUGAUCUUGUGCAUCUACUGAGCGCAUCGAUAUCUGUGCGUUGUUGCAGGCCGUUCACAUGCGGCGCAAAAAGGGAACAAAUAUAUGGGGCCGUGUUUUUUGGCAAAACCUGUCCACAACCACCGCAGAAAUUAUCCCAAUUCUGUUGGUAGUGCAUCCCAUAAUUGGUCCUCAAAUGGAUUUGCUCAGUUUUCCUGGGUUUUUAGUGAGGAUGCUUCGAGAUUUCAAUUUGCUUCUAAUUUCUGCGGGGUGUGUAGUCUGGGUGGCGAUGGGAUCAAAAUGCCGGAAAUGGUUUGUUAGGGUUCGCUACGUACGAAAUUAGGCUCGAACAGGGUUGAGUAAAGAGUAUUAUAAAGGUAGUAAAUGACAGGGUGACUCAGGCUAAGAAGUGACUAGGCAGCCCUAUGAUUGCUGAGUAGGUGGGAACCUACUAUAAAUAUGAUAAAAAUUUUGUUUAGACACAAUUGGAAUGAAUGAUUAUGAAAAAAAAGCGGCACGUUGAAAUAAAAAUUUAAGAAAUAUCAGAAGAAUAGAAAAACAAAAGAUUUCGAGAGAAAUAAUUAAAAUGUUUUUGCUAAUGUCUCGCUGCCGUAUAAGGUUAAAGGAAAUUGGCGUUGUUUGGGCGAGUUGGUAACGUAUGUGAAAAGGGUUGGGCGAAUAGUUAGACAGCCGUUGAUUUUUAAAUGAGAGACUCAGGGGUGAGGUGAAAUGAGAAUUCACAAUAAAAAAAAAAAUGGCUAUUGACAGUUGAAAAGAAAAAGGAAUGAAAAUUGAAAAUGGUUCAGGAAAAUGGUGUUUCGUGGAAAAUGAGCGUCUGGCGGGAUUCACUGAGAAGAGGGGUAUAAAAGGCUGCGAGCAUAAGAAAAGCCAAAGUUGAGAAUAAGACGUUACCGGUGAAACUUAGCUAGAGAGCAGUGAAGAAGUGGAAAAAUUUAAUUUGUGUGUUGCGAUUUUUUUUUAUUGUGAAUAUUCCGGUGGUGUAUCAAGCCUUUUUUGGAAGCACCGAAAAUUGUCCGGUUUUGGUCAGCACAACGGCGGGAAAUUGCCUUUUCUUUUUGGUAACGCAAGGUAGUGGCAAGUUGUCCACAGGAAAAAAAAGCCAAAAAGUUACAUUGAGGGUGUGGAGAUUUGAAUUGUAAACUGGCCAGCUGCAACUUUGAGCUUUUUGCUGUGCCGGUUAUUGAUCCCGCCCAGAACGCCGGCAUUGUAAAAGGACCAGUCAACAAGUCCAGCUUCAUUUGAGGGUUUGCCUGGCGUUCAAAAUCUGUUUCCUCCGGAAAGAAGCGUAAACUGGAAGGAGAGAUAAGAAGAAUUAAUCAAUAACGUUAUAAAUCACUGCUCAGGUAAAAGGUGUCUUACCGUUGUGUUGUCCUUGAUAGAUAUAUUUAUAUAUAUAUGUGACGUCCAUAAAAUUUGCUGUCUCCUUUUUUGGAACUAAAAGAAAAGAAAAAAAGAGUUAAUAAUCAUAAAUUUCGAGAAAAAAAAUAUAAUAUUCAGUAUAAAGAUUUAGUAAUAAGAUAGGUUAUAGUUCUUAGGAUUUAAGUAAUAAUCAGUUUGUAAGGGAAAAAUACCGCGUUUAUUUUCAAAGGCUAGGAGGUGUUACAGUAAAAUUAUCUUGAGUCCUUGUGAUUCGAUCUGAUAGUUUAGGCCGUGGAAUUUUAGCGGCAAUUAGGCCGGUUAAGAGAGCUCUUUUAGGUGGCUAGUAAUUUCGUAUAGACGCGUGAAUAUUGCGCGGGAAAAGCAAGGCAAAGGAUAAUAUAUUGGUUUCUACCGAGUAAUUAAAGCCAUAGAUUUAAGAAAGCCCGGUAUUAUUCUUAAUUUGUUUUUUUUUAUACCAUACAGUUUGUCAAUUUUAGUGUAAGAAAAAAAAUAGUAGAGAAAAAAAUUAAGAAAAUAUUUAAAGCUAACUUAUUUUUUUUAAUAAAAUUAAAAAUGAUUCUUUUGUAAACAGUA